UACGUACCGGACAAACGUUAUUCGGAAUCACUGGGCUUAAAGAGUACGUAGGCUGCCUUGAAGGUGAGAUGUGAAAUCCCAUGGCCUAACCAUGGAACUGCAUUUCAAACCACAAGGCUUGAGGGAGACAGGGGUAAGCGGAACUGAUGGUGGAGCGGUGAAAUGCGUUGAUAUCAUCAGGAACACCGGUGGCGAAGGCGGCUUACUGGGUCUCUUCUGACGCUGAGGUACGAAAGCUAGGGUAGCGAACGGG
rnacentral:rRNA from 1 species